GUUGAAGGCGAUGCGCAGGAACGGUGCCAUGGUGGGGCCUGCAGCAGGGUUGGAUGUAGAGGGCUGAUGAAGUCAGGCAGCACUGGGACAGCCCCAGGACAUGCUCAGGACUAGGGCAGUCAGAGGCUCUGCCCACAUCAGUGUACUUGACCCUUCUGAACUCACCCCUUGGCGUCACAUGCCUCCCGCUGCCUGCACUUUCAAAAUGAAAAUUUUUUUUCCCCAAA